AUUCCUCUCCAGGGUGAUGACAAAUCCGUGA
rnacentral:piRNA from 1 species